AAAGAUCGAAUGGGGAGAUUCAUCGACGACGUGGCUGGCUUCCGUUGGUGCGCAGAUACCCCGCAGUGGGCCAUUACUGGUUCCAAUGCGAGGGUACACCAUCUUCGGUGGUUAAUUUUGAAACAUGAUAGCUCCGGCUACGUAGUCGUGCACUUCUCCCUUAGUAGAACGUCGCGACCCGUUGCGUGUCGGUCUACGGCCCGAGAUGGUGCCUGUCGUGUCGCUUCCGGCGCACACGGCAGACUCUCGGUUGUCUGGCCGGCUGCGUGACGGUACUCUGACGGUAUCGGGCCGCAACCAAUCCAUUUUCGAAUGUAUGUGCGUCAGGCCCGCCGCUUCAAUUUCUAUCCCGUUGGUACGGACCAUGUGCCGGCUUCGGAGCUAGAAAAAUUGUUAGCCGGCGGUGUCCUUGGACUGGCCAAGCUUUGAAUUACCGGUCAGCGACGCUACUGCUUUGGGUACUCUCAGGACCCGUCUUGAAACACGGACCAAGGAGUCUAACAUGUGCGCGAGUCAUUGGGAUAUGUAAACCUAAAGGCGGAAUGAAAGUGAAAGUCGCAUCUUUGCAUCGACCGAGGGAGGAUGGGCCGCGUUACGAUGCGGCCCCGCACUCCCGGGGCGUCUCGUUCUCAUUGCGAGAAGAG
rnacentral:rRNA from 1 species